rnacentral:rRNA from 2 species
AAAUUGAAGAGUUUGAUCAUGGCUCAGAUUGAACGCUGGCGGCAGGCCUAACACAUGCAAGUCGAACGGUAACAGGAAACAGCUUGCUGUUUCGCUGACGAGUGGCGGACGGGUGAGUAAUGUCUGGGAAACUGCCUGAUGGAGGGGGAUAACUACUGGAAACGGUAGCUAAUACCGCAUAAUGUCG